rnacentral:rRNA from 1 species
UACGAAGGGGGCUAGCGUUGCUCGGAAUCACUGGGCGUAAAGCGCACGUAGGCGGCUUCUUAAGUCGGUGGUGAAAUCCUGGAGCUCAACUCCAGAACUGCCUCCGAUACUGGGGAUCUUGAGUCCGGGAGAGGUGAGUGGAACUGCGAGUGUAGAGGUGAAAUUCGUAGAUAUUCGCAAGAACACCAGUGGCGAAGGCGGCUCACUGGCCCGGUACUGACGCUGAGAUGCGAAAGCGUGGGGAGCAAACAGG